rnacentral:lncRNA from 1 species
GUUUAUGUAGAUAUGCGUUGACAAGAAUUUAUGUUGAGUAACUAAUUCUAGAAUUAAUAUGGCCAUGUCGCUUGUCACUAGAAUUUCUGUUUGAAGCAACAUUCCUGUUUACCUUUUUUUCCUAAUAAAAAAUGUAAACCUAUGUCUAGUAAUUCUUGUCCAAAUCUUGUGUAUAUACCUUCACUCAUUGGGACAUGUUUGGUUUCAAGCAGGAGCAAUUGACAAGUGAGGACAACAGACAUGUAUAUAGCUGGAUGUGGGCAUGUCAUUUUCAAGCAGGAGUAACAUAAUUUGGUUCCUGAACAUUGAUGGCAGUACUGUGGCAACAUAGUAUAUUUAGAUGGAUUUAUAUAUAUAUAUAUAUAUAUAUAUAUAUAUAGCUGUGAUGUGGACACUCUUAUAAAAGGAGAAAGAAACUUGCAUCAGGAAUGGGGACCUAGACAUCAGGACUUGGAACAUCAUUUGAAUUGACUAUUUUUCAACCUUAUUAAUUGUGUUUGGUUACAAAUAUAACUGUGUAUAGCCUGAAAGGUUAAAUGUUUGGAUCAUGUUGUUAACGUGUAUUUUCAUUGGUUAAUUUCUCAAUGGAUGUUGCUGUUUUGAUUACUAGCAAAUUUCUACAUAUGAGUUGGUUUUGGAGGCAUUUUUAAUAAUGCCUCUAUCAGUGUUUGAAGGCUUAUACAGAAUGCCUUUAAAAAUUAUUAUAGGCAGCUACAAAAUGCCUUUAUAUGUUGAUAUUGGAAGGCGUUUCGAAAAAAUGCCUCAAAAGACUUUUUAAGUCCAGUUUAUAGCAGGCAUUUUUAAGUAUGCCUAAAAAGGUUUUUGAAGGCAUUUUGAUGCCUUUUAAAGGCAUUUUUAAACACCUUCUAUAAACAGUCAUGCUGUAGUGGCCAACGUCAUUGGCAAGGCAAGCAUCCACAUCAUGGGCUAGUUAUUAGCUCCCUGAUCCAAACAGUCAUUGGCAAGGCAAGCAUCCACGUCUAGUUAUUAGCUCCCUGAUCCAAACACCCCUAGGAGGAGCAGGAGAGCACCAAACCAUAUUACAUCAGACAUAUGCCAAUAAAUAGUUUAGAAAUUAAGUGGAAACACUUCAUAUACAAAUAAAGAAAAAGAAUGUUCAGAGGUCCUAGUAGAAAAUGAGAUCCUGACACUUCCACAGGCCUUCAGAACAUUAUGCAGUGAUCGAAUUCACCAAUUGAUUAGCAUGGUCUACAUAUUUAUAGUUUCCUUAGCAUAAAAAAUAUAACUAACAAUAUAUUUCAUAAAAAUGUGUCAAAGAAUCGACCUUAACACAUGGAAACCAUGCGAGUAGUUAGAAUGGCUCGGAGCAACAAAAAACGCCCUUCAAUACCAUUGCCUUGUGAACAGAAAGUCUACUGUUAAAAGUUCAAGAAAAAUAAUUGGCAAUGAUUUAUUUGCAAAGAGGGUAGUCAAACUGAACACAUAAAAGCUGUUUACUCUACCAAACUGACAGGUUCACAUCCUGAGCUGUUCUUCAGUUAAUCGUUAGUUACCACAAAGCUACCUAAUGAACACAAUGGCAGGCUCACAUUCUAAGGUGAACCCUGAUCUUCUCUAGUGUUUCGUGCAACAACAGGUGUGGAAAGCUAAGCUUUUGUUUUCUUCUGUUCAUCAGUGAGUCAUCUGAACCACAAGGUACUACUUCCUUUGUUUAAAAAGUGGAUAACAUUGCCACUAUGCCACAUGUAUUACAUUGACAGUAUCCCAAAAAAUAUCACUACUAACUUGCUUGGCCCCCCAAAACAUAUAACAGAGGAUCUUAUUAAGCACCUCAGACCAGUAAAAAAACAUGUGUUGGCUGCUUUGAAUUAGUAGAAAUAUCAUAUUAUUGGAUUCAAUUUUAAACAGACAUCUUCCCCAUGUAGUUGCAGGCUGCAUGAAAAAUCUUCAUAGCAGGAAGCAAGGAAAGCGAAUGAAGUAACUCGAGGGAACUAUAGACCACACAAGUUCAAGUCCACUAAAUCAAGUUUUAUUUUUGAAGACCAGUAAUUGGACUUCUGAAUCCACUACUACUGAAAAUCAUUUUUUUUAUAGAAAAAAUAUAUGAACUGUUACUGCUUGUGCCACUGCAUUAGUUAGACAUUACUCUUUCAACUUCGGAGUUCAGACCUACUGCUUUCCUAAACCAUAAUAGUACUUCUGAGCUUCUGCAUGGUAAUAACUAAUGCACAUAUAUUUGGGGUAAAAAAUAUUGUACCAGAGCAGCAGCAAGUCUAUAUUACCACAAAAACAAGAUUAUGUUGACUCGCAAUUCAGAGUCUUGAUAUUUUGCUUAAACAAAACAGAUAUAUCUAUGAAUUCUAUGAAACUUCAGAAGUAAACCCGUGUAAUGUUAAAAGGAUUUUCAUUGACGAUACAUAUAGAUCUGAUUGCUCACUAAUAUGCCAAUUUCAGAAAGUUGGACAAGCCAUGUCUGCCACUGCUCUAUUGCAAAGCUGCCAGAUCUAAGGACAUGGCUGCCAUUUCUCCUAUCCACAUAUAGUUCACAGUCAAAUUGUGAAUUUAUUGCUUAGCAUUCCAUGGAUUAAGCAUUCAGUGGACCAUGAUUAAGUAGAGGCUAGUUUUUUAAUUGCUUUUUAUAUGUUUGAGAAUGCACUACUCCUCUGUCCAUACAAACAUGAUUCUGAAAGAAGUUCAGUUAUCAGCUUCGAUUUAAGAAUCAUCUGGAAAGUUUUUUUUUUUCAAAUUUAGUUCCCAUAUUUUAUAUGUGCCUCAAAUAAGCUUUUCUUGGCUGUAUAUAUCAUUGGGCAUAUACCAGGAACUCAAAAAUAAAAAAGAAUUAUGCUGAUUAUCCAGCAGUCAAGAAUUUACCGCCAAUAUUUGUAGGACUGCAGCUGGUAACAAAUGCCUAAAUGGCAAGUGACAGCCUUGAUGCCUAUCUGAGGUGUGUUAAAAUGUGGUUAACAAUUAAAACAAAAUGGUAGAAUAUUAAUUAAAUUGUCCAAAGGACUCUCAGCUUGUCUACAGCAUUAUGCUGAUUUAGUCCACAUCAUAAACUGCAUAAUGUUUAGGCGAUGAUUCUAGACAAAUCAGUAGCACUGAAUUGGAUUAAUUAGCUUCUCACUGAGACAUAUAAUAAGCAACAAAAAGUUCACUGAAAUAAGCAUCAAGAUCAGAGUACCUCAGAUAUCUUUGAAAGGGAUAAUGUAUACACUUGUAAUUAAAUCAGAUCUGAAUACAAAUGACAGUAGGGUUUGAGUGCUCGAUUUCCCACAGCCCGAAGGGUAGAGAAGGGUGGGCAUAUACCUGUUGGAUGCUCGUCGCCGAUGAAGGGCCCGACGAAGACUUGAGCAGCUGGUGGGUAACGGCGGCACCUUCUUCUCCGGGAGGCGUGAGGUGAUGGCGGCGUUGAUCCCCGCGAAGUGUGUUGGCGGCGCGACUGGUGGUGGCGGUAGACUUCAGGACUUGCGGUGGCUGCGGUGGUUGAGGCAGGGCCGCGCGAUGUGGAUUCCAGGCUCGGACUGACGCCGUGGUCAGAGGUAGAAAAGAUGUUGGCCAUGGAUGAGGAUGGGUGGAGCGGCGUCGGCUUCGGCGUUACAGGGCGCAGCACAGCGUUGGCGAACCGAGCCUCACACGGAUUGAUCCAUGGAUCGAUGGCUGGGGAGAGCAGAUCGAGCUGUUGCCUGCUAGAUCCGCCCAUCCACAUGCCGUCGAGGAACUGCAUGCGGGCGGCGGUUGCUAAGGGGUGAGGGCGGUCGAGCGGCCGGCGAUCCCCAGCAGCAGUGCGCGGGUGGCGGUUGCGUAAGGGGGAGGGCAGUCGAGCGGUCGGCGAUCCCCAGCAGUAGGGCGCGGGCGGCGGUUGUGUAAGGGGGGAGGGCACUGCGUUCGAGCCCGGGAUAUAUUAGCAUGCGAGGGAGGCUAUUAGCGCGAGGGGGGGGGGGCGAUUAGCGUGGGCUGACGAUGACCUCCGGGUCUUUUUAGUUGUAGAGAUUCGGUCAUGUUUGGAGAAUCGGUCUGCUUCUCUAUAUAACCACACAUUUGUACGCACAGUAGUAGUAAGUGCUUUCUUACAAUUUGACUCAUAUGCAUCUUAAGUUUUUGUCCACUUCACUCAAACAUUUUUACUACUAAAAACUUGAAUGGAGUUAUCCUCUCAUACGUUUUCAUGAGAUCUAAAAUAUUAUUUUCAUACUACGGUAUCCUAACUACAUAUCCAACUAAUUUAGUCGUUAUCCUCUCAUAUGUUUUUGUGAGAUCCAAAAUAUUAUUCGUACACUACGGUAUCCUAAUUAAAUAUCCAACUAAUUUAGUCAUUAUCCUCUCAUAUGUUUUCGUAAGAUCCAAAAUAUUAUUCGCAUACUAUGGUAUCCUAAUUAAAUGUCCAACUAAUUUAGUCUUUGCUUAUCUGAAAUUCAUGUCUCUGAGUUCCCACAGCAAAGCAGAGAAUUCAUCUAGGACAUAUAUAAUAUAAAAAAUAUAGUCUAGCUAUAAGUAUGGACAUGUAUUAUAGACAUGCAUGAUCUUUUUUUUGUCUUAGGCCUGGUUUAGUUCUCCCCGAAAUCCAAAAACUUUUCAAGAUUCCCAUCACAUUGAAUCUUGUGGCACAUGCAUGGAACAUUAAAUAUAAAUAAAAAAACUAAUUACACAGUUUGUCUGUAAUUUGCGAGAUGAAUCUUUUGAGCCUAGUUAGUCUAUAGUUGGACAAUAAUUACCAAAUACAAACAAAGUUUGACAUAUAUUACAUAUAUUAGUAUAUUUUUAUAUAUAUACUUCUUUUCAUGCUCAACCUAAUGACAUAUAUUAUAUAUGAUAAAUAUUACUAUAUUUUUGUAUAUAUUUGAUCAAAUUUAAAAAAGUUUGAACUCUCAGGAAAUGAGACGUGCAUUUAUUUAUGAACAGAGAGAGUAUUUCUUUAACUAUCCCCAAAAUCACCUCCUCUAAGCUGCAGCUCCUUGAACACUGCUGACGAUUCUGCCCACAGCUUCUUGGCUACUUCGGUGUCAUAGGAUAGUCAGGAGGAUUUGAUCGUUUUCCCUUUCCCAGCAAAUAAAUACUUCCGAGAUUCUUCCUGAAAAUAACAGCGACAGGAUACAACUCAUGGUUCAUCAUUCUGGUUGCAAAACUAUGAAAGUUCUCCAGGAUCUAGCAGCAAGCUUACAUGCAGAGCCAAAGCAGCAUCAAGGACAGCACACCAACCCCUGAAUCAGGUUCAUGCAGGAGUUUAAGGAAGCGCAGAGCCAAAAUACGAACCAAGACAGACAUUGAGGAAGCUCUCGCAUGAUCUUUGUUUCCACAACACCACGAUCAGCAGCAAUAGAAAACAUAUUUAAGUCAUAUGUGCAAAAGGAAUCAUGUUAAGUAACAACAGCAAACUGCUAGAGCUUAUGUUAAUUGGUGAUAGUAAUAAAACAUUCUAUCCUUCUGCAAGCCAAUCAUUCCCUAACAUCAGUUUCCUCUGUGGGCUAGAGAGCAAAUAUCCUGGUAAACAUAGCAUGACUAGAGAGAAACGGUUUAUUCAGAGAACAAAAUAUGCUCGCACUAGAGCAGCAUGCGGAACCAACUACUUGUGUUUUAUUCAGGGAUCAUGAAUCCAUAUGCAUCUAGCUUCAGUUGACUUUUAUGGUGCUGUUUGGUUCCUACAUUAAAUGAUAGUAGUACUGCAAACGUAAACGACAUGAGAUCCAGGAUGCAAUGAUUACAGGACAAUGGUUGGUUCCCAUAUUUUUUUGGUUCCAUGGCUCAUUCUGUGUAGUACUCCAACACUUGCCACACCUACUGUCUGGCCCCAAACAACACAGAGGUCACACCCGAACGAUAGCAGCGGCGACAGCCUCUAGCUCUGCCAUAGUCGUAGCCAGACUCAGAGCAGCCUACUCGUCGAUCUCCUAGCAUGUGUUUCCUAGCAUCAACAACAACGCAGACACGCCCUCAGCCAAUGCAAACACAGUAAUACACAACAUGGGUGAGUAGUUGACAGAUUCAAAAUGCAAAACAUGAUUAUUUUGUUCUAAGAAAUCAACAAGAAACAUGAAUCACAUAUUUGGAGAAAAAGGAGACAACCUUAACUUUGGAGAGUGACAACAACCUCCCUAGGCUACGACCAGAAGGAUUGACAAGAAGCAGGUAACAAUAGCGACAGGUGGCCAAGGACUCUCUGACAUGCACACAGUCAUUAUCCACCCAUAUAGAGGAUGUACAGAAACUCAAGAAUGACUAGGAAGUACCACUAUGAUUACCUUUACCCUAAAUCAUGGUCGGCUUGGACUAUGGACAGAGGAAUUCAGUGUUGGUCAAAGUUUAUGAAAUGUUGUGGGGUGACCGUGGAGGGACUAGAGCUUGUUGUACGUGCUACUGUUGUAGUGGGGUCUGGACAUUCAUGGGUUGUUUUGGGUGCUGCGCGGGUACUUAUGCUUGUCGUCAGAGUUUGUUGACAAGCUACGAGGGAUGGUGGUGUGGACCUCGGUGUCGGUUAAGUAAAAGAUUUUCCCUAUCUAAAAAGAUAUGAUUUUUCUAUACAAAUGAUUAGUUUCUUUCGGUAAAGAAGUGGUAGUUAUAUUAGAUAAUUCUAACGACUACUUAUUAUAUGCUUUAGCAGACUUGCUUGAUAGCAUGGUGCUACAGUAGGUGUUAUGGGGAUUUUAUACCUAAAUAUAUACGGUGCCACGUACUUCCUAGUAUAGGCUAAGGAUAACAACUAUUGCGCCUAUAGUAAAUUUGAGUAAUCCAUAUAUCUUUGCACUUUAGCAACUAUUAAUUGAAACACAGUUAUCAAUCUUCAGAUUAUUUCUCUUAAGCAUGGUCAUUGAGGUAAGAGAUAUUGUUCGAGCCAACAAAAUUAGAAUGACAAAUAGUGAAAGAGUGAAUAAGAGUGAGGAAAGAGCAAGUGAUCAAUUUUCUCCCUUCUCUCCUCCUCACCUUCUCUUCUUUUUAUAGGGGAGGUGGUGGAGAGGAAGUUCUCUUUUAAGCCCCUCGGUGGGGUUUGUGUUCAAAGGAAUGCCACUAGGGGCUACAAAUGGACCUCUAAGGGGAGUUUGUGUUUAUAAAAAUGCAACAAAAAGGUGCUAACACCCCCUAAAUAUUACUCUAUGUGCCCUAAGCUAUGUAAUUGGGCCCUAAAUAUCAUGGUGGGGGUCCACAACAUUAUGACACACCCCAACAAUAGCCCCUCAACUAUUCGGCCUUGAUCGAAGGUCCAAAACCCAAUAGUUGAAUACAACAAGGUUUGGCCCUAAUUACAAGUCAGUUUCGAUACACCACUCUCAUCUAUACAUCGUUAGUCUAGGGACUACUCUAUCUCUAUCUAGUCUUUUUCUUGUCUUGAGCUUCUUCGAUGGCGCUCUUUGCACGUGCCCCUGUGGCCUUGUCCUUGGUGGCUUGCCCCUAAUCAUUCAACCUUUGUCGAAGAAGAUAUUGAUGUUGUUGAAGUAGUUGAAGCAGUCAACAUAGGUAAAAUAGUCAUAGAUGAUCAUGAAGCAUCUUGAAGCCUUCACUCACGGGCACUAGGCAAAGCUUUUGUCUUUGGGCGGAUUGCUUGUCCAAUGCGCUCUGCACCAACCCCUCUUGGUUGACGCUUGUGAGAUUCUUUCAAAGAUGGUGAUGGCGAUCGUUUCACUCCAAAAUAUUGCAAGGGUGAAGUCGAUGAUGGCUCCUCGACCUGGAGGUGUUGGCAAAAGUGUCGAAGGUGCUAAUGGGGAACUCUUCCUAAAAUGCUGAUGACGCUGAAAUAAUUGUCUGGAUUGAUGAAUUGUUGGGUUUCUAGAAAAGUUGAUGACACCAAAAAUAUUGAUGGCAAGGCGAGAGUGUGCAAAAAGGCAUAUCACCCCCUAAUGGUAGCCCCUCGGCAUCUCUGUUUGUCACAAGCGAUAAAAGAGGCACUGUUACUUCUUCGUGUUUUUGCACACCCCGAUGCCAUCCCCCUUUUGAGGGGAUGGACAAAAUGAAAGCGCGAGAAGGCUUUGCUACCAGCCCCUUGGCAUGACUUAGAGAAAAGUGGCCCCUUGGGCAAACCAUGUUUAAUAUUUCAUGCAUGUGCCACAAGAUUCGAUGUGACGGGGAAUCUUGAAAACUUUUUGGUUUUCAGGGUGAACUAAACAAGGCCUUAGGGAGAGAAGUUCAUGAACAGAGGAACUAACAAUGCUCUGUCAUAAGUUCGCUGGGAGUCACAGAUGACGUGGAGCGAUGCACUUUUCUCUCUCGCUCUUUACACUUCAUUCAUCGAAAGGUUCUGGGAUUUGAGCGGAUGAUGCGAAAUUCUCUUCACAGCCCAUCGCCGGACUGAAGCCUUUGAGAGAACACUUAGUUAUUAUUAACAUGAGAGAACACUAUUCACAAUUUUGUAAUUUAUUUUUUUGCUACAUUUUAAUAAGCAAUAAAAUAAGAAACAAUAGCUAAGUUUAGAUUAUUUUUCUUAUAUAUAAAUAAAUUAUAAAAUAGUGAAUAGUAUUCUCUCAUGUUAAUAAUAACUAAGUUUAGAUUAUUUUUUAUUAAAAUGAAGCACUAUUUUGUAACUUAUUUACUUAUUUUUUUGCUACAUUUUAAUAACCAAUUUAAGUUUAGAUUUUUUUCUUGUAUAGAAAUAAAUUACAAACUAGUGAAUAGUGUUCUCUCAUGUUAAUAAUGACUAAAUUUAGAUUAUUUUUUGUUGUAUUGUUUAUUAAAAUGAAAAAAAUGUGACAUUAGAGUUUGAACCUAGGCACUUGAAAUAAAAAAUAAGUGUCCUAACCAACUGGACUACAAUUAAGUUGUGUUAUUAUGUACUUUGGAACAAUAGUAGUUGUUUCAUCUCAAAUUCCAAGAUAAUAUAUGUUAACAGCUCGGUGCUGAUGAUAAGGGCGUCAAGAUGCAUGUCAUGUCAUCUCCAUAUAUACGUUAGCGUAACGAUCUUGGCGUCAAUAGGAUUGGUGCCAUGUUGUGUAACCUUGGCAUCAAGCUAAGGGUCUAUUUUUUGAAAUCAUUCCGCUAAGGGCAUAUUUAAGAGAAUCUUUUGAAAAAAAGACUAAAAAUAAAAAAAUGACGUCACGUCACCCCAGUAAGCUUCCCCUCCCUUCCGUCUCUCACUCUGCAGCAAUCGCUUUGUUUUCUUUGUUGCUAUGUAGCCUUCUACCAGUAGGUGCUUCUGCUUGUGCUGGUAAUUUUGGAGGGACAGGGCCUCGGUAGAUCUUUUUUUUAAAAGAUCCGGUUACCCGGCAUUAUAUAUUAAUAAGAAAGAGGAAGAGUUUGCAACCUUACAUGUACGAGGUGCGCUAACUCACAUGACAGACGGCCAUAUGAGGGAGAAAAUAAGAAAAAAACUAAUUACUCAUAAUAUUUGAGACUAACCUUCGCUGUCUAUAGAUUCCUCUUCUCGUUGAGGACCAGUCCUAAAGCUCAUCCUUUAUUCUUGUCAACACCAUGAGCUCUGUGCUCCUCCUAAAAUUGAAGACUCUCACAUUUCGUUCCUUCCAAAUAUGCCAGGCAGUUAGGAUUGCCAGCAAGUGUGCCUCCUUGUUACCUCGUGCCGUUAGAACCAGAAACCAGUCCUCGAGAUCAAUACUCCCCGACCAUUGAUCUAGCUCCAGGUUUACAUGCGAGCUCUCCACAGAGCGACCAUGCUCCAUACCUUCCUCGCGUAAGGGCAUUCUGUAAAUAGAUGUGCAGCCGUCUCUAGAUUUCUUUCGCAGAGUGCGCAAAAAUAGUUAUUUUCCCAUCCUCUUAGCUGUAGCCUGGCUGCCGUCCAGAGCCGGUCUUGCAACAGCAACCAUAUGAAGAAUUUGCUGCGAGGAGUGGCCCAAGCAUUCCAAAUGAGGUUUGGAAAAUUUGAAGUUACAUGACCUGGAACACAUGUGUUGUGCUGAGAUUUGCGUGGGUUCACUUCGAGGGGAAACGCCUUGCUAGCUGGCGAAAUAGUGCGUGCUGUUUUCGGUGCAGCUUUUGUUGGCUUGGCCGAUAGGCCGAUAGCAGGAACUCAGUUCUUGAUAAUAUAAUGUCCUUUCAGAGCUUACUAAAGUCAGCCAUGAGCUGGUGACUUCCAAGUUUUGAACUUGAAUGCCGAGGAGUGAUGUGCCAGCAGGGACGAAGCCAGGAAAAAAUUUAGGAGGAGCUGAUGAAUAAAAGUUCGACAUCAACUUACCUCUGCUAUUACUCCUCGUAAAUAUAGAUUAAUGAUGAAAUUCACAAAAUAUAUCUAAAAAAUAAAGUGUUCAACCCACCCUACCUUAUAAAUUUGUGUCUAAAAUUAGAAGGAGAGAACUAAAAAUUCCACUGGACCAGCAGCGGUAGGGAGGGCUGGAGCCCCCCUAGCCCCACUGCUGGCUUCGUCGCUGUGUGCCAGGGAGGUUGACCCUUAGCUCGCUAGGCUCUUGCUAGAUUGAAUUUUUAGGACACAACUGACUAGAGGCUGCUACACACUUUUUAGGAAUUCAGUUGCGCUAAGUAGAGUUUUCUGGGCUGUAGAUUAAUUAGUCAACACUAGAGAGUGGGCAGCUCUAUCACAUGUGAUUAAUUUUGUUUUUUUGGUCCUGUGUUUUCGCUGACUUGCUGCAGCACUCCAAAUUAGUCAGCACAUUAAGGGAACUUUGCAAAGUGUAAAGCCACAAAGUAAAUAAACCACUGUAUGAAGCACUACAGUUUAUUUCAGUUAGUUUUGGAAGGACAUUUUGCUGCUGAAGCUCUGCCGGUGAGCUUCCUCUCCUUCCCGUCUCUCACUCUGCUGCUGAAGCUCCGUGUCACCUCACUCAAUCACUCGAGUUUCCUCUGGUUUCUCAUUCCAAAACGUCCUUCUCAUUUAUCUCUUAUUUCCACAAUAUUAGGUAUUUAGAGAUUCUGCGAGCACAUGUGCCUGCUAAAUUUUAUUUGUAGGGUACAUAGUAGAAUUUCCUAGAUUUUGGAUCAACAUCACGGCUCUUUCAUCAUUCAUGUAUUAAACACUUUGCUAAGCUGUAAAUGUUACUGCAUAGCCGUCAGGUAGAAAUCAGGCUUCAUGGUAUUGCAAGGAAAAAACAAUAGUUCUGCUACUAUUUGUUUAUUCAUGAUCUGCAAUGGAUUAGGCUGGAGUGUAUACAAUGUAGGCAGUAUACACUACUAUAUAAAAUAUUUUCCGUGACCUUUCCAAAAAGCUUCGGAGGCGGGUAGAUUUCUGAACCGCCUCGGUUAAUGCCUCGGAUUAACCAAAGCGAUCACAAACAAAAUAACCACCUCACAAAAUUGGAUUAACAGUCUAUUAAUUGAGACGAGCCUUAUAAAAGGCCCGCCUUGAAAAAUAGGACCAUUUUCGGAGGCCGACCUCCUAACUUGCCUGCCUUAGAAAAAAGGUCGAGGCCCAAACAAGCCCAAAUCGAGGCCCGAUAAGCGCUCUAUGUAUAAAUACGUAGCCCUAGGCUUUCAUUAUCACUCUCUCCUUCUCCCUGUCAUGUGACCGAGCGCGGCGCAUAACUCCCUCCCUCACGAUGCGCCCCUCCUCCCUCGCGACUAGGGAUGAAAACAGUACAGAUAUUUUCCGAGCGUAUUCGAUGCCGAAUUCGUUUAGAGGGGUUCAGAUCUAUCUGUAUCUGAGUCCGAAUAUUCAACAUCCGAUACCAUAUCCGUAUCCGAAUACUGAAAUCGUAUAUUUAUGAUGUCGACAUCCAAUCCUAUCUUAUCCGAUAUGAUUGACAUUAUCCGUAUUCGAAUUCGAAUCUGACCAAAAAUAUGAAAACAAAUAUGAUAUCGCUAAUAUCCGUUCGUAUCCGAUCCGUUUUCAUCCCUACUCGCGACUCACCCUUCCCCUCCCCUCCCUUCCCUAUCCCGAGCAGCACCCAAGCAACGCCUCCGCCCUCUCCCUCUCUCUCUUCCUUGCUCGGCUCUCCGGCGCGGCGGGUGCAGUGCUACUCUAGCAGCAGUGUAGCAGGUGUGGCCCCUCUCUCUCACCACGGAUUUGGCUAGAUCCAUGGCAAGCGCCCCCAGCGGUUGGAUCUGAUGGAGGUCACUCGUGCCUCAGAUCUAAAGAGGAAGGUCAUCGCGGUGGCACGACGACGUCGAGGUAGUUCCCCAUCUUCCUCUCUUCACCUCCUCACUCUUCCCUCUUCUCUCACAGGUGAGCAGCAGCGACGCCCCUCCUCUCCUCCAUCCAUGGCACAAAUCUGGCAUGUUGAAGUCCUUUGACAGUAGAUCUAGUGGGGAGGUGCCCUCUAGCGACAGAUCUAUCAACCCGCACCACCGUUCAGUGGCCCUAACAAGCGGUGGCAUGCAUGCGCGGAUGCUGCAGCCGUGGAUGGGCUCAAUAGGCCUAUCCAUGGAUUUCUCUUUUUUGUUGUUUUUUAUUUUAGUAACCGAGGUGGGCAUCAAACCAUACAUCGAAAAAGGUCCAAUUUACCGUGAUCUUUGAUCCGAGGCAUUUUCGUUGUCCGCCUUGAAAAAUUAAAAAAAUACCCACCUUGGAAAAGAUUAAUAUGGUAGUGAUACCGUAUCAUAUUUUCACCUUCUCUUUAUUAUUUCCAAAUCUAGGCCUUGUUUACUUCCACCCAAAAAUCCAAAAUUUUUCAAGAUUCUGAAUUUUUAGAUGCAUGCAUGAAGUAUUAAAUAUACACGAAAAUAAAAACUAAUUGCACAGUUUGGGCGGAAUUGACGAGACUAAUCUUUUGAGCCUAGUUAGUCCAUAUUUAGACAAUAAUUACUACAAACAAACGAAAAUGCUACAAUAUCGUGAAAUUUUUUCCUUCGGGAACUAAACAAGGCCCUAAUGUCGAUUUCAGUUCAGCAUGCCCAUGCACAUUCAUAUCAUUGAGUUACCCUUUUUAGUAAUUUUUCUCCUACUUGGUUUCCUUGUUGUCAAAACUGCAAUCUGCACUAAAAUGAAAGCUUGAUAAUUCUAGUUUGUUGAAUCCAAUAAUAACUUGCUGCUCGUCAGCAUCCACAACCUCGCCGGCAAUGGCUGUUGAAUGGCUAACAAAUUCGGCAAAUAAAUUUAAGCGAACAGAGUGAUGAUGACAGGGUGCUGUCAGAUGUCCAAGAACUAUGGUGCCACCUGGCAGGCAGCGGCCGUACGUUGGGCUUGUUGGCCAGGGGCUCGAUUCGCCGUGACCAAUACCGGCGGGCAGUACAUUCAGUUGCUGAACGUGGCAGUUCGGCCAGACCUUAACCACAGAUACGAAUUUCCAAUACUGAUCCGUUGAUUGAUCGAAUUUCCACACGACGAGCUCAAUCCUUUUCCUUCCCAGUCGAUCGCCAGCUGCGAAGAUGGGCUGCGAGAGCGGAUAUCAAGGGCGCAUCGGCGACGGCACGCUGAGCGAGACCAACAUCUCGGAAAUGGCGGCGGCUGGCAUUACUAUCUGCAGGGCUCGCAGCAAGGGUGAUGCAUCCAUGCAAAAUUAUCUUGUUCUGUUACUAUGAACUUGAUCCUGUCAGUGCCUGCCUGGUAGUUCUAUUCUAUCAACUGCUGUAAACUGCGAUGACUUGGAGAAAUGUUAUUUUUCGGCUGUAUCUUCAGAUGCUGACUCUGUUGCUUUUUCAGCUGGUUCAUCAGUAUGUAUGUUGAAGUAGAAACAUUGUUGUUCGGUGUCGGUGUAAUGUCAUUUUGUCAACCUUUACUUUGCUGAAACUAAGAGUUUCAGGUUCUGAUGAGAUAUCAGGGUUGCCUUGUACACCUCCUACGAAAGCUCCAAUUGCUUUUGUCUUAUAUGGCUGUGUUCGGAUAUGAUAGUGUUCAGUAACUAAAGUUUGCACUGUGUUUCAUGGAAGCAGGAGAAGGUAAUGCUACUACUACUGAUCUGUUCAGUAACUUCCAUGCACUGUGCAGCUAUGAUUUAUUCCCUCCAUUAUAAAUUAUAAGACGUUUUGUUAUUUCUAGAUAUAUAAAUUUUGCUAUGUAUCUAAUAUAUACAAUUAUAUCUAGAUACAUAAUAAAAUCAAUGUAUUUAGAAAAAGAAAAUGUUUUAUAAUUUAGAACAGAAGGAGUAUGAGCGCUUAGCUACUUAUGAUUGUGCAUGCUACUUGUUCUAUGCUUCUCGGUUUUUCUACACUUGAGAUGAUGAAGAAGCUUUUUCCAUCAACAUGUAUGCAAUAUGUUGCUGGGUUCCUUGUUGUGGAACCUGCCCACCCAUGUUUAAGUUCUCGACUUGGCACAGGUGCUAGCAUUUUCAUGGAUUUAUUUAAGGAUUUAAAGGCGCUAUACUUUUAGUGGUAGGCAAUGUCUCUGUCGACAGCGAGACACCUAUGGUCACUUCGUAAAUCUCGUAAUCUGUCGACUUUGUGAAUAUCGUGAUCUGUCAGUCCUUCGGAGGUGCUCAUAGAGAUAGGAUUUAAGUAUGUGUAUUCAUAGGGGUGAGUGUGCAUGCGUUGUGAUAUCUACAUUAUACUAUGCAAUUCUAAAAAAAUGCAAUAGCUAUUAUUUUUUUCAGACGAUUAAUGAAUUGAUAUCUGCUGGACAGUGGCAAGGUCACAAUUUCCUAACAGAAUAAAUCGGUUGCCAAGCACUAGGCAGCGUCCUACAACAAAAAUCACUUAGGAAAAUUCCCAAACUAGUUUCAAAAUUUUAUGAGCUAAAAUAAAAUUUCUAAGAGUAGACUAAACUAUAAGAUUUUUAAUCACAUAAUUUUUCUAAAAAAUAUUAAAAAAUAGUUCUUGUUCGAUUUAUAUAUACCUCUUCUAAACUAUCAUCAAUCUAUAAGAGGUCUAAUCUACCUCUUUCGUAGCUGACACAGCGCUAUGUCAGACAAAACCACCGUCCAAAAAUGCUUAUGAGGUGCAAAAACACAUACUCCAUGAAGAGGUUAUAUAAUAAAAAUCCGGUUUCAUAUAAACGAGGAAGGAAACUGUACUAUCGUCGGGCUAGUUCACUUCCAUUUUUGGCCCAAUCUACGACGUCACGGAGGCCCAUCGGCCCAGACAAGGACGAAGAUCUCCUCCUAUGUGGCGGCCGCCGCCGCCUCCGUUGCCGCCGAUUCCAGCCGUCUCGCAGUGGCCGGCAACACAAGCGCGCGACGCCGUGGCCCAAUCAGCCUCCCACGCAGUCUCUUUCUCGAUCUUUCCUGCCCCUCGGUCAAAUGCCAGAAGGCGACACGCGGCCACGUCCAGCUGGCCACCAGCCACCGCCACCGCCACCGCCAACUCGGCGUCCGUGCCGUGCCGUGCCGCUGUUGAUCACCCCCCCCCCCCCAAACCCUCCUCUCCUUGCUGCAUUUCCUAGAAAACCCCGCGGAGGGGGGAGCAAAACCCCACUCUUCCUCGCCUCUGCCUUCGUCCGAGCGCGCCGCCGCCGCCGCAGCCGCUCCUGGUGAGUUGCUCGACGUAAUCCGGAUCAUCUUACGCGGGGGAAGCGCCUCGGGGAGCAGUAGAUCCGAGGCGGCCGGAAUCUUUCCCCUUCCCCGCAUCGGUGAUUCCUUCGCUGGUGAGCAUCUGCCCCCCCAUCCAAACCAUGUUCCUCACUCCUCAUACCAUCCAGACCCUCUGCUCUGCCUUGUCUCGAGUCUGAUUGUCUGAAAAUCCCCUGCUCUGUUCCGAGCAGAACUACCAGCAGCCAAACAGGCUGCUUAGGAGCAACCUUGGACUUGGACCUCACCAGCACAGUCACCUUCAAACCAUGUCAUUUUUGGUUCUACACUCUUAGCUGUUAGCUUGAGUAGGUGAGGAGAGCCGAUUCUACAUUCUUUUGCCAUUCCUACUUUAACUGCUAAACCUUCCUAGUUUGUUUAGCCCCAGAUAAGAUCAUGGAGCCUUUAAUUUCUCUUAGGAUCUUUAGUUGAUCCGCAUUGUUGUCCGUGUAACAACUGAGCAUCACCUGCUCGGCUCGGAACAGAACAAGCUGCUUACAUGCUACAAGACUAUCCUUGCACGUCACUUGUAGCACAGCACCUUCAAACCUUUUCUUCUGUAGUAUGUUUGUGCAAUCUGAUUCUAUUUGCUUAUGAUAUUCGUAGUUUAACUACUAAACCUAAUUCGAUUGUUAUGUUACGCCUGCUGAGAAGAUCAUGGGAGCUUUCAUUCCUCUAACCAUAUUUAAUUUACCUACAGUUUCAGUUCCAUUAUUACACUAAUACCUGUGUCUUCUAUAAUCUUGUAGAACGACCUACCAAUUGAUCACGAUUAACAGCACCUGUACAGAGGUAGAGUCCCGGAGAUGGCCGAUCCAUUGAGCAUCGUGCAGUCGAUCUUACAAUUGGUCCUCAUGGUCAACAAUAUGGUCGGGACGUUCCGCCACAACAAAGAGGACUGCCACAUUAUCACUGAGCUCCUGAAUAGAGUGCGUGCUGUUGUGGAGGGGCUGAGUAUUGCAGAGGACAAUUCAGUGAGUGAUGCAUUGAGUGAUGUGUUGAACGGCCUGGAGGAGGCCCUGAAGUGUGCAAUGAAGGACAUCAAGGCCUGCCAAAAGAAGAACAUUGUGCUCUCCAUCAUCCAGGUUGACGACAUUGCCAAUAUGUUGCGCCGGGUUCAGGAUGAUUUAUCACGGAACUUGAAUGUAGCAGCCUUUGCCAUUGCUGCAUAUAACACCUCAAUGUUGGAUGGCAUUAAGGAAAAUGUUGCUGCUCUCCGUGCCGACAUCGCUUCUAAGAGGUCAAUACCAGCCAUCGUUACUAAGGAAAUACCUGCUGCUCUUCCUGAUGGCGAUCUGCAACGAGAGGUAUCAUUGUUGAUUUAGCUUACCACACCGUUUGUAAUAUAUAUAUUAGGUACUGAUUUUGGAGUAUGGCACCAAAAUUUAUUUGUCUUAUUCUAAUAAUAAAUGCUAUACUUCAUGCAUGCUUGUGCUAAUUAUUACUGUACUUAAAUUUUAUUGUCUCUCGCUGUUUCAGAUGGAAAGAUUGGUGCAAACCAUUGAUCUCGGUAGUUAUCAAAAUGAUAGAGUUAAAAGGGAGAUAAAUAAAACAGAAUUUGCCAGGUAAGCCGGUAUCUGCAGAAAUAUGCUCAAUUGGCUUGCUGUGGAGAUUUUUCCAAAUAUAUUACUUAUUUUAUCUAUUCUAGUCUGGUGGAUUAUCUAUUUUAGUAUGCUCACUUGCUGCAUGCUGGGAUUAUCUAAUGCGAAUUUGUCCAUUUUAUUUACUUUUAUGAAUUUUGUAGGUUAUAACUUAUAAGGGUCGAUGUUACCCUCUUAGCUUCACUUUUUACUCACGUAUGUUAAGGCAUUUGAUUUCUUUUGGGAUUUGGGAAUUGCAUACAUGAAGUUAAGGUUGGGAAAAACAAGGUACUAGGUGAUAGCAAUGCUCCAUGUGCUUCCUUAUCAGAUGGUAAGAUUUUAACUUCCAUUUGACUUUGACUGUUCACAAAUUUAUGUUGUUCGUGAAUAGAUGAAGUCAAACUUAUGUCAAAAUGUUAUUACAUGGUUUGUCAUAAAAUAUGCUGUGUAAGUUUUGUGACUAACAAAUGUUUAGAAAAAAUAAUGGUGAAAGCUGUGUAUUGGGGAUCUUGUUAGUAUCGGAAGAGAUGAUUAAAAAGUUAUAGAAGUACGUAUCUAUCCUUUUCAUCGUAAUUCUCUUUUUACACAUUGUUGGCAUGCCAUGGCCAGUUAGCUAGCUAGUCCCAUAGCAUCAUCAUCUUUUACAGAUCUGUUCCUGCAUAUGAACAUUACCACCUCUGGUCAUGAAUGCUCUUAUUAAUGGUACCAUGUUUUGGUUAUCUAGAAUAUGACAUGUGUUUGUUUGUCUUACAACAGGCAAAGCCAUGUCUACUUCAGUGGAAAGUUUGAUUGAACAAGAUGUCAAAGAGGUAUCAUUCCAUGAUUAAUCUAUAUAUGAAUCAUUGUUUUUGAUUGUUGUUCGAUGAAAGUCAUUGUCAUAGUUUGUUGUUUGAUGAAUCAAUGUCAUAGUUGGUCUGAAGUCUGAUGUCAUAGAAAAGGAUACCCCAUGGUCUGAUUGAUUUACCCCCCUUAUAAAGUGGAUUUUCCUGCGACAUAUCAAACAGUUCAAAUUGACACAUGAAAGUUUCCAGUCAUUUGCUCAUCCUGUGCUGGCCAAAGGCAUAAUUAAUUGUCCACCUCAGUCUCAAUCUUGUGAGGUAUAUGUGGGAAGAAAUGCUAUGCAAACAGGGUGUUUCCGACAUAUUCAGGCCUUAUCCAGAGGCAAUAAUAAUAUUACAUCCUGUCUAUGAUCCAUAUGGAUUUAUUCGCUGUGUGUGCUACUCGGUGAAUUAAGUAUAGAAUAUAGACCAACUGUUAAUGAGGUCCAUAUUGGACAAAUAUAUAUCCACAUCAAAUCUAGCUCUGACCAGAUAUUACACUUAGAAGAUCAUGAGAGUACAUGUCUAGUCAUCAGGGGAUUUCUUAUAUUCUGUAAUUAUUUGGAAAUUAAGCUGAAGUCAUAUGUCAUUAAUUCUUUGUCAACCUGAUACAAUGCUUGUUUUUAUGAGAUGUUUUGUUUUGAUGAUCUUCAUUCAUUACAUAGACAAGUAUCUCUGUCUUCAAGUUGGUGGAUAAGGCGCACUCAGUGGUAGUUUCUCCAGCACCAUCCCAGCUGCAACAAGUAAUCAGUGUAUCUGAGGUACCUGGAGAGGCAGGCAGUUAUAAGGUACCUUUUGUAACAUGCAAACAUGAAUUCCAGGGAAGCUUUGCUGCAUCCUUAAAUUGAUGGGAAAUCUAAGUUGUUUGUAAUUGCUGGAGUCCACCAUUUGUUAUACAUGGUGUGUUAAACAUGGUACCUUUUGGGACUUGAUUUAUGCUGCUUCUUGCAGGUAGGCUUCCUGUCCUCUGAGACUAGCAAGCUAUUUGGGGCCUAUGCUGCUGGAGCUUCCUUCGAUUCAAAUAAGGAAACUAUUCGAUGCCCAGUGACCCUAACCAACAAGACAGAACAUUAUGUUGGCAUCUGGGUUAAACCAACAAAUGAGCAAUUUACAAGAACAGCAAUGAUAUUGGAGCCCCAUUCCUCUUUGGUUGUAUCUGUGACAAUGAAGGCGCAUGAAUCUCCCCAAGACACGGUUAAGAUUGAGGCGCUGAUGAUUGUCUUACAGUCAAAGCAUGACCUUGUGGAAUUGGAGUCAUCCAUUGGUGGCAAGUUGACUAUGGACAGUGGCUUUAUGGCACAUACCAAGAAGCUGCAGGCUGAUGUGUAUUGGGCAACGCUGCCAGCUAUCAUUUGUGAGCCAGCAAGAUGCCCGCAGGUAUAGUUACAAGUUUUACAUGAUUCAAGAUGCCCGCAUGUGGCCUGAUUAGACUUUGGAUAUUCCAUUUUUCCUUCCAAAAUUUCUGCGUUUGAAUGAAAACAGAACUCUUCAACUAAAUUGCUCGUAGAUAAUUUUCUUUAACAUUUUAUGUGCAGUAGAUCGAUCAUUUAAUAUCUUGCAGAUUCUCUUAACUAUUUGCAUCAACUUGUUAUACCAGAUCAUGUCAGGAUCAACCGAGAAUAUGACCUUGAUUACAUCCAUUGAUGUGCACCCCAUCAAGACAUGGUGAGUCAUAUGUAUAGCGCAUCGAAGUGAUACAACUCCUAUAUUAGUAGUCCAAGACUUCCUCUGAUUUGAACUAUAUGCAUCACAGGAUCGCGACUACUCAUAAGGGAGGGACUGUUUACAUUUGGGACUACCAGAAGCAGGUAUCAGUACUGCUAUAUUUAUAUUUAGUAUAAUAUGCUUGCGAAUGCAGUAAAAAUUAUGGUGGUGAAACUCAAAUAUGUUCAUUAUUUGGCAGAAACGUGUGUCCAAGUUGCAGGUCACUAAGGUGCCGAGCAUCCUUGCAGGCUUAAUACAUAAAUAUUCUCAAUACAUUGAAGAGAAGUCUGCCCCACAUUGGCUUUGUUCAGUCAAAUUUAUCACUCAAGAGAAAUGGUUGGCAGUGGGGGAUGGUGACGGAUACAUAUAUGUCUAUGCCUAUGCUGACACUAAGCUUUAUGAGGUCAAGAAAUUCAGAGCUUACCAUGGAAAAUCUGUCGACUCGUUGGCAGUCCAUCCAAGCGAGCCGUACCUUCUUUCGUCAUCGGCUUUUGAUGGGAGGAUCAAGCAUUGGGACUGGAGCAGGACUUGGGAGAAAAUUCAAGAAUUUGAUGUGACCACUUCUGGUGUUCUCAAGGAUGGUGUGCGCAGUCUCAAGUUUAACCCAAGGGACGCCAACACUUUUGCUUGUGUCACCUAUGCUAACAGAGCAAUGGUUUGUUAUCCUCUUCCUCUUCACUAAAUCUGACCCUUGUACAUCUAUGCCAUAAUUAGUGAAAAAUCGACUAAUUCAGCUAUUCAAGGAGUCAUUUGUAUAUUUGAUGUUACAAGAUUUCUUCUCUGCAUGAAAUUUCUAGGUUGGGAACAUUAAAUCUUCCAGUCUUACAGCCACAAUGAAGGGACCAUUCAAUGCUGAUUAUUUCUUCGCUCCCAGUCAUCAGCACUUGAUGGUUACUUUGAGUUCACCUCAUGAUUGUGCAUGUGUAAAAUGUACAUCACCCAACUCUGAGGUGAACAAUAUCAUACACUAACAACUAUUUUCGUAACACUUAAUAACAUUGAUAACAGCUGUGUGCAUAUAUAUAUGGGGGACAGUAAUUGGCCUAAUAAUUCUCCUUUCUCUUAUUUGUGUGAAAAUCAGAUAAGGGAUUUGGAGACGCGAAAAAUUGUUCACACUCUUGGUGUGAAUGGGCGCAAAACGAGACGCGUUGCUUGCCACCCAAGGCUUCCAAUAUUUGCUACCAUGUUAGAUGACGGGACUGUAUGUUUGUGGCAUGCCAGUACAUACAGGUAAUUUAAGCUUCUGCUCAAUAUACUCCUUCAUCUUUUAUUAAAACACAAGUAUUCCAUGAUUCAAACAUACUAAUUGUGUCCAACAACUAGCACAACUGGCUGCUUUGGUGAUUGAGUAUCUGUAACUGAUCUAAUUGAUAAAAAAGAACAAGUGCUUUAUUUUGUUAGCAUUGUUUGCAUUUGCUUGUUUUCUGGUUUCUUCUUUUUGGUUUUAUUUUAGCAUUGUCUCCAUUUGCUUGUUUUUUAGUUCCUUUUUCGGUUUGCGGGACGCUUCGCCAAGCACUGCAUUGCUUAAUCCAGUGACAUGAAACGUUUUUAUUAGGUAUUGAAAGCAACAAUCAUAAAUAAUGCUGGUCUCCUAACUAUGUAGGCUUGAGAAAAUGGUUCACAUUCCAGAUACGGACAGCAGCUCACAUGAUAUGGUAUUCGUGACAGACACAAAUGACAUAACAAGGUACUACCACUGCUUACCUUCUAAUUCACCUCUGACCAUCAAACUGAAUGUGAAUAACGCAUCCUCUCUUUGAAACAAGGAGCCUUCCUGGUUUUUUGCAUGCUUCAAACAAUUUUAUCUUCUCCAUGGCUCCAUUUUACCAUCUCGAGUCAAUAGUGUUCUAUGUGGUUUCGUCCCCCCCCCCCCCCCCAACAAAAAAAAAA